rnacentral:rRNA from 1 species
UACGUAGGGUGCAAGCGUUGUCCGGAAUUAUUGGGCGUAAAGAGCUCGUAGGCGGUUUGUUGCGUCGGCUGUGAAAUCCCGAGGCUCAACCUCGGGUCUGCAGUCGAUACGAGCAAACUAGAGUGUUGCAGGGGAGACUGGAAUUCCUGGUAUAGCGGUGAAAUGCGCAGAUAUCAGGAGGAACACCGGUGGCGAAGGCGGGUCUCUGGGCAACAACUGACACUGGAGGAGCGAAAGCGUGGGGAGCGAACAGG